rnacentral:rRNA from 1 species
UUGUCUCAAAGAUUAAGCCAUGCAUGUCUCAGUACAAGCCUUAUUAAGGUGAAACCGCGAAAGGCUCAUUAUAUCAGUUAUGGUUCCUUGGAUCGUACGAAAAAGUACAUGGAUAACUGUGGUAAUUCUAGAGCUAAUACAUGCAAACAGAGCUCCGACCAGAGAUGGCCGGGGUGCUUUUAUUAGAUCAAAACCAAUCGGGUGGCGUGCGAGUACGCGCGCGGCCGCCGCCUGCGCGUUCGCGCGCGCGUCGUCGUUUUAACGGCGGCGACGCGUCAGCGCGUGCCGUACGGUGACGGUUCGCCGCUCUCGUAUCGCUCCGUACACGUUUGGUGACUCUGAAUAACUUUGUGCUGAUCGCACGGUCUCGUACCGGCGACACAUCUUUCAAAUGUCUGCCUUAUCAACUGUCGAUGGUAGGUUCUGCGCCUACCAUGGUCGUAACGGGUAACGGGGAAUCAGGGUUCGAUUCCGGAGAGGGAGCCUGAGAAACGGCUACCACAUCCAAGGAAGGCAGCAGGCGCGCAAAUUACCCACUCCCGGCACGGGGAGGUAGUGACGAAAAAUAACGAUACGGGACUCAUCCGAGGCCUCGUAAUCGGAAUGAGUACACUUUAAAUCCUUUAACGAGUAUCCAUUGGAGGGCAAGUCUGGUGCCAGCAGCCGCRGUAAUUCCAGCUCCAAUAGCGUAUAUUAAAGUUGUUGCGGUUAAAAAGCUCGUAGUCGAAUCUGUGUCCCGCGUUGUCGGUUCACCGCUCGCGGUGUUCAACCGGCAUCAUUCGCGGGACGUCCUACUGGUGGGUGCCUGUGUCGCGCUUGGACCGGCGCCAUCAUCCGGCACGUAUGCGCGCGCGCACGUCACCCCGCGCGUCAGCGAGCGCGUGUGUGUGCGCCGCGCCCCACGUGCGCGUCCGUACGACGUCGCGCGCGUCGAAAAUGUUUUGAUUGAUCAAGAACGAAAGUUAGAGGUUCGAAGGUGAUCAGAUACCGCCCUAGUUCUAACCAUAAACGAUGCCAGCUAGCCAUCCGCCGAAGUUCCUCCGAUGACUCGGCGGGCAGCUUCCGGGAAACCAAAGCUUUUGGGUUCCGGGGGAAGUAUGGUUGCAAAGCUGAAACUUAAAGGAAUUGACGGAAGGGCACCACCAGGAGUGGAGCCUGCGGCUUAAUUUGACUCAACACGGGAAACCUCACCAGGCCCGGACACCGGAAGGUUUGACAGAUUGAGAGCUCUUUCUUGAUUCGGUGGGUGGUGGUGCAUGGCCGUUCUUAGUUGGUGGAGCGAUUUGUCUGGUUAAUUCCGAUAACGAACGAGACUCUAGCCUGCUAAACAGGCGUUCAUUUCCGAUAUCUCAAGGGCAGGCGCUCGGAUCCGUACGUCGCGUGUUCUCGUCGUGUGCGCUGCGCGCGUGCGUCGCGUGCUCGCGUUUCGUACGUCGCGCGCGUGCGCGUCGUCGCGUCUCGCGUUCGUCCGUUUCUACGGGCCGUGCGUUCGCUUGUGCGCGCCUCCGCGUUCGCGUACGGGCGGCAUCGGCGUGCGCCGUGCGUGUGCGGUUUUUACUAUCGGCGUAAAUAGAAAUCUUCUUAGAGGGACAGGCGGAUCCUAUCCGCACGAGAUUGAGCAAUAACAGGUCUGUGAUGUCCUUAGAUGUUCUGGGCCGCACGCGCGCUACACUGAAGGAAUCAGCGUGUCCUCCGCUGGCCGAAAGGUCCGGGUAACCCGCUGAACCUCCUUCGUGCUAGGGAUUGGGGCUUGCAAUUGUUCCCUAUGAACGAGGAAUUCCCAGUAAGCGCGAGUCAUAAGCUCGCGUUGAUUGCGUCCCUGCCCUUUGUACGCACCGCCCGUCGCUACUACCGAUUGAAUGAUUUAGUGAGGUCUUCGGACCGGUGCGCGGCAGCGUUUUGACAUUGCCGCCGUUGCUGGGAAGAUGACCAAACUUGAUC